AUUGAACGCUGGCGGCAGGCCUAACACAUGCAAGUCGAACGGUAACAGGAAGAAGCUUGCUUCUUUGCUGACGAGUGGCGGACGGGUGAGUAAUGUCUGGGAAACUGCCUGAUGGAGGGGGAUAACUACUGGAAACGGUAGCUAAUACCGCAUAACGUCGCAAGACCAAAGAGGGGGACCUUCGGGCCUCUUGCCAUCGGAUGUGCCCAGAUGGGAUUAGCUAGUAGGUGGGGUAACGGCUCACCUAGGCGACGAUCCCUAGCUGGUCUGAGAGGAUGACCAGCCACACUGGAACUGAGACACGGUCCAGACUCCUACGGGAGGCAGCAGUGGGGAAUAUUGCACAUGGGCGCAAGCCUGAUGCAGCCAUGCCGCGUGUAUGAAGAAGGCCUUCGGGUUGUAAAGUACUUUCAGCGGGGAGGAAGGGAGUAAAGUUAAUACCUUUGCUCAUUGACGUUACCCGCAGAAGAAGCACCGGCUAACUCCGUG
rnacentral:rRNA from 1 species